rfam:Zootermopsis nevadensis contig25104, whole genome shotgun sequence.
GCCACGGUGGUCUAGUGGUCAGAACGCUGGCCUUGUAAUCCUGGGGUCUCGGGUUCGAUUCCCGGCGGUGCCC